UGGAUUAGGCAUGCAAGUCGAACGGGCCACGGGUAGCAAUACUUGUGGUCAGUGGCGUAAGGGAGAGUAAUACGUAGGUAUUUACCCUGGGGUCUGGGAUAGCGGCGGGAAACUGCCGGUAAUACCAGAUGAUAUCUCCGGAUCAAAGGUGUGAUUCCGCCCUAGGAGAAGCCUGCGGUCUAUUAGCUAGUUGGCAGGGUAACGGCCUACCAAGGCAGAGAUGGAUAUGGGGCGUGAGAGCGUGCCCCCACUCACUGGGACUGAGACACUGCCCAGACACCUACGGGUGGCUGCAGUCGAGAAUCUUCGGCAAUGGGCGCAAGCCUGACCGAGCGACGCCGCGUGCGGGAUGAAGGCCUUCGGGUUGUAAACCGCUGUCGAAGGGGAGGAAAUUGUAGUGGGUUCACCCAUUAUAUUGACCGAUCCUUGGAGGAAGGGCCGGCUAAUCUCGUGCCAGCAGCCGCGGUA
rnacentral:rRNA from 1 species